UUGAAAGGAAAAUUGAUUGCUUCUGUUGAGGUGAAGUGUGGAGGCCAUUUGAUGCAUGAUCUUUUACACACUAAUUCUCAUCAUGUAGCCAAUAUAAGUCAACAUGUUAACCGUUUUCAAAUUCAUGAAGGUGAAAGCGUAAAAGUUGGUUCGAUUGUUAGCUGGAGUUAUAAUGAGGCUGGACAAAAGAAGUUUAUAAAGCAAGUUAUUGAAGCCAUCGAUCCGUA